GUAGGUGGCAAGCGUUGUCCGGAAUUAUUGGGCGUAAAGCGCGCGCAGGCGGUCCUUUAAGUCUGAUGUGAAAGCCCACGGCUCAACCGUGGAGGGUCAUUGGAAACUGGGGGACUUGAGUACAGAAGAGGAAAGCGGAAUUCCGAGUGUAGCGGUGAAAUGCGUAGAGAUUUGGAGGAACACCAGUGGCGAAGGCGGCUUUCUGGUCUGUAACUGACGCUGAGGCGCGAAAGCGUGGGGAGCAAACAGGGAUUAGAUACCCUGGUAGUCCACGCCGUAAACGAUGAGUGCUAGGUGUUAGGGGGUUUCCCGCCCCCUUAGUGCUGCAGCUAACGCAUUAAGCACUCCGCCUGGGGAGUACGGCCGCAAGGCUG
rnacentral:rRNA from 1 species